CCUACGGGAGGCAGCAGUGAGGGAUCUUGCGCAAUGGGGGAACCCUGACGCAGCGACGCCGCGUGGGUGAUGAAGGCCUUCGGGUCGUAAAACCCUUUUGCCACUGACGAGGAAGGACGGUAGGUGGCGAAUAAGCCUCGGCUAACUACGUGCC
rnacentral:rRNA from 1 species